GACAUGCAUUUCACGUUGAGAAGAGGAAACACGGAAAACCUGUCAAAUUUUUAAGGUGUCAUUUGAAAAAUGCCAAAACCUUUAACUUCAACAUAGACGGAAUGUACAGAAGUCUUGUUUGUUUGAGAAACGUUACGAAAAGAAGGUAAACUUUGAAAAGUACGAUUGCUGUCACAGUGUCGGAAUGAAUGACCCGACUUGACCCAGUUAUGAGACAGCCGAAACCAGGAAUGACAAGAGAACCGGCGUUACAGUUUAAUCCGGACAACAAGUUAAAUAAACAUCCUGUGUGAUUUGAGACAAGUGUCACUGAAUGGAAACAUGUGCAUGUGGGAUUUUAGGAAGACUUGUCAAUCAAGCUUGUGGAGUAGACACAGUCAGACGACGGGAGUUUGUUGAUAUUUUGAUGUGAUUCAUAAUGGUCGAAUAGAAUCUACCUGUUGAUAGACUAACACGGUAUCUGGAGACUUGGUGACAAGCUGUCCGCAUUCACGGAGUUCAUUUAGUUCAAUAUCGGACACAGGAUCAGCUCGCUGCGUUAUCGAUGUCAUCAUCGUUCACAAAGGCAAACCUGUCUGUACUAAGUCCGGUUUUGGGAUUCGGGUGGUAGCAAGAUUCGCCCAACAGCAAGUCCUCUAACACAGACGCAAACCCGGAUUUGCUUGUGUUGAUCUUGGCGCACCAGAAACAGUUUCUGGCAACAUCACAAUCUGAAUCUUGGAACCUCAAUCUGGCCAUAUGCAGUUUUGACAACAAAGACAUUUAAUGUGUUCAGAGGUUGAAUUAUACGAAUAACUCUUCAUGUCAGUCAGAUCUCCGUCCGCUUUAACGAGGUCAUUUACUUUGACAGGUGUCAAAUGUUUGUUUACAAACGUAGACGUAGUUUUGGUUUUUACUGUAAAACGAAAAUCAUGGAAAUAAAUGAAAAAUAAAUAAUGUGGAAUAAUGUUGUUGAUAUGAAACUAUGUUUCUUGUCAUAAAAAUCUCGAAUCAGUGAGAUUGUAGCACGUAAAUCAUCUGAAGGGAAAGGCGUGCUUUUAUGAAUGAAUGUGAUGAGAAAAAAAUAGUUCCGUUGUCCAAUGAAAAUUUCUCUUUGUUCAACUGACCAAUCAGCUUCGAGAAUCACUAAUUGCACACUGUGCAAAUAUCAAAAAGUUAUUACUCUGCAUAUUUGAGCCCAUAUGGGUAAUAAAGUGUCUUCCUUCACCACCAUUAUCCUCACAGUGAUUGGUGAAUGGUUUUCUUGAAUUUGUCAAUUUUGUUUGGUCUCGAAAUGGAUACGAAUAUUUUUAUCCCUAGGACAUUUGUGUAUAUGUUAUAAACGCAUAUUUUAAUCCCCAUCCAUCUUGAUGCACUGGCUGAUUUCUUCCCACAGCCUCUCUUCAUCGUCCCUGUAUCUGUCCACACAGAAGAUGUGUCUCUCCUCCACAACAUUCAGCAAGGCAGGGGAGAUGUCAUCUCGUCUCACGUCCUCAAACAACACAAGAAGGAUGCUACCAACUGGCAUUCUGGUGGAGGAAUACACAGUACGAUUAACGAUGAAGCUGCACCACUGGUCCUCUACAAAAGAUUGAGUGAGAAUAAGGAGCGUCUUCCAACUGGAAUCUAUUCCGUUGAUGAUGUCGUCAGCUAUUUGUCCUCCAGGGAUGGUGUCUCUGUCCUUCAGGAAGAGUUUGACUCCAUGUCUGUCUUCCAGGUGCUCUCUGUGACAGAUGUACUGAUAAUCGCAGUCACUGUGGCCGAUGUUGGCAUCGUUUGGGAAAUUAGUCCGUCUCAAUGGUUUUGCUACAUUUACAAAGCCAAAUAAUCGCAGUAAAAUGUUGAAAAGUAGAGUCUUCUUUUGAAUUAUGACAUACAUUACCGUUAAGAAGAAGAAGAGCAAUGCAAAACCUGAAAUGCAAACAGAAAGCCAAAAUGGACUUGAACAACGCCUCCAGAUUGCUUCGUUAUGACUAUAAACAUAUAAUGGAGAUUCAAUCUGUCCAUUAUCUAGCACGCAGAUAUAGUCGUCUACGUUCUUCACGGUUGCGUUUGACGAGAAAAGCCACAGCACAAAGCCAAGAUUGUUACAGCCACAGGACAAAAGGUUGCCAUUCAGGUUCAGGGAAAAAUUGUGUCUGGGUGACAGCUCAUCAACAAGGGUCAUCUCUGUUUCUGACAGAACAGGGAGCGAGUUGAAGCUGAGGUCAAGGUCAUACAGGGAAGAUGUCGUUGUCAGAUCAAAGGGAAUGGCCUCAAAGCGAUUAAAUGAUGUGGAUAAGGUUAAAGAGAUGGCUGAGUGAUCCGAUUUGUAGCCUGCUGAUAUAUUUGCAUCUAGUGUUAC